rfam:Gossypium raimondii Chr12_contig_807, whole genome shotgun sequence.
UAUUAAAAUUUUUAUAUAUUUAUAUUGUUAAAAACUAAUGUGACUGACGGAAUAAACAAAUAAUUAAAUUUGGUAUGCCACGUGUAGCUCAUGUUAACAUAUAGAAACCAAUUUUAAAAAUAAAAAUGAAUAAGUUGUUAACA